rnacentral:rRNA from 1 species
AAUAUAAUAUUAAAGAAUUCGGCAAAAAUUAUAUUCACCUGUUUAACAAAAACAUGUCUUUUUGAGAUUUAUUUAAAGUUGUCCCUGCUCCAUGAAAUAUUUUAAAUAGCUGCAGUAUUUUGACUGUACAAAGGUAGCAUAAUCAUUUGUCUUUUAAUUGAAGGCUAGAAUAAAAGGGUUGAUGAAAUAUAAACUGUUUCAAUAUUAAAAAGUAAAAUUAAAUUUUAAGUAAAAAUGCUUAAAUAUAUUUAAGGGACGAUAAGACCCUAUAGAAUUUUAUAUAUUAAUUAAAUUUAGUGGACAUAUAUAUUUAUAUUAAAUUUAAUUAAUUUAUUUUGUUGGGGUGAUAAUUAAAUUUAAAAAACUUUAAAUAAAAAAAACAUAAAUUAAUGAAAAAAAAAUGAGAUUAUAUUAUAAAUUAAUAGAAAAAUUACCUUAGGGAUAACAGCAUAAUAUCUUUAAGAAGGCCUUAUUUAUAAAGAUGUUUGUGACCUCGAUGUUGAAUUAAGAUAAAUUUUAAAUGCAGAAGUUUAAAAAUUAAGUCUGUUCGACUUUUGAAAUCUUACAUGAUUUGAGUUCAGAUCGGUGUGAGCCAGAUCGGUUUCUAUCUUUAAAAUAAAAUAAUAUUUUUGUACGAAAGGACUAAAUA